GCCUGAUUAACUCAGUUGGUUAGAGUGUCGUACUAAUACACCCUCUUCGGAUGUACUCUGUAUGCGAAAGUCGACAGUUCAAGCCUGUCAUUGGGCA
rnacentral:tRNA from 1 species